rnacentral:rRNA from 1 species
AUUGGGUUCCGGCAUUGGAAUGAGAACAAUAUAAAUCUUUUAACGAGGAUCUAGUGGAGGGCAAGUCUGGUGCCAGCAGCCGCGGUAAUUCCAGCUCCGCAAGUGUAUAUCUAUGUUGCUGCGGUUAAAAAGCUCGUAGUUGGAUCUGCGUGUUUAGCGUCCGGUUCGACUUUUGGUCGUUACUGGAACGCGACACAGAUGUGCUGGUUUGCCGUUGAUGCUCUUAAUCGGGUGUCAGUGGCGGCUAGCGAGUUUACUUUGAAAAAAUUAGAGUGCUCAAAACAGGCGUUUCGCCUGAAUAUUUCUGCAUGGAAUAAUAGAAUAGGACUUCGAUUCUAUUCUGUUGGUUUUCGGAAUGCGAAGUAAUGAUUAAGAGGGACAGACGGGGGCAUUCGUACUGCGACGUUAGAGGUGAAAUUCUUGGAUCGUCGCAAGACGUACUACUGCGAAGGCAUUUGCCAAGAAUGUUUUCAUUAAUCAAGAACGAAAGUUAUGGGUUCGAAGGCGAUCAGAUACCGCCCUAGUCAUAACCGUAAACGAUUCAAACUGGGCGCCCGACGGUGUUUUUAUUGACCCGUCGGGAACCCUCCCGGAAACGAAAGUGUUCGUGUUCCGGGGGAAAUAUGUCUGCAAAGAGGAAACUUAAAGGAAUUGACGGAAGGGCACCACCAGGGGUGGAGCCUGCGGCUUAAUUUGACCCAACACGGGGAAACUCACCCGGCCCGGACACCGUAAGGAUUGACAGAUUGAGAGCUCUUUCUUGAUUCGGUGGGUGGUGGUGCAUGGCCGUUCUUAGUUGGUGGAGUGAUUUGUCUGGUUUAUUCCGAUAACGAACGAGACUCUGGCCUGCUAACUAGUGUUCACAUCUUUACGUGUGCUUCGCUUCUUAGAGGGACAGGCGGCUUCCAGCCGCAUGAAGAAGAGCAAUAACAGGUCUGUGAUGCCCUUAGAUGUCCGGGGCUGCACGCGCGCUACACUGAAAGAAUCAGCGUGUACGUUACCUGGCUCGAAAGAGUCGGGUAAUCCGGUGAAAAUCUUUCGUGAUUGGGAUCGGGACUUGCAAUUAUUUCCCUUGAACGAGGAAUCCCUAGUAAGUGCGGGUCAUCAGCUCGCGCUGAUUACGUCCCUGCCCUUUGCACACACCGCCCGUCGCUGCCCGGAACUGAGCCGUUUCGAGAAAAAUGGGGACUGUCUACUUGAGGUCUUCACGGACUUUUUGUAAAUGGAAACCGCUU